GGGACACGUGGUAUCCUGUCUGAAUAUGGGGGGACCAUCCUCCAAGGCUAAAUACUCCUGACUGACCGAUAGUGAACCAGUACCGUGAGGGAAAGGCGAAAAGAACCCCGGCGAGGGGAGUGAAAAAGAACCUGAAACCGUGUACGUACAAGCAGUGGGAGCACCUUCGGGUGUGACUGCGUACCUUUUGUAUAAUGGGUCAGCGACUUAUAUUCUGUAGCAAGGUUAACCGUAUAGGGGAGCCGCAGGGAAACCGAGUCUUAACUGGGCGUUAAGUUGCAGGGUAUAGACCCGAAACCCGGUGAUCUAGCCAUGGGCAGGUUGAAGGUUGGGUAACACUAACUGGAGGACCGAACCGACUAAUGUUGAAAAAUUAGCGGAUGACUUGUGGCUGGGGGUGAAAGGCCAAUCAAACCGGGAGAUAGCUGGUUCUCCCCGAAAGCUAUUUAGGUAGCGCCUCGUGAACUCAUCUUCGGGGGUAGAGCACUGUUUCGGCUAGGGGGUCAUCCCGACUUACCAACCCGAUGCAAACUACGAAUACCGAAGAAUGUUAUCACGGGAGACACACGGCGGGUGCUAACGUCCGUCGUGAAGAGGGAAACAACCCAGACCGCCAGCUAAGGUCCCAAAGUCAUGGUUAAGUGGGAAACGAUGUGGGAAGGCACAGACAGCCAGGAUGUUGGCUUAGAAGCAGCCAUCAUUUAAAGAAAGCGUAAUAGCUCACUGGUCGAGUCGGCCUGCGCGGAAGAUGUAACGGGGCUAAACCAUGCACCGAAGCUGCGGCAGCGACACUAUGUGUUGUUG
rnacentral:rRNA from 1 species